UGCCGAUUCAUCAUUCAAAUGAAGACGAAAACGAAAUAGGAAAUAGCUGUUAAUUAUGCAUCGUUUUAUACACGCCUACCUUUUUGUUCAGAAAUUGGAGAAGAAUCACGCGAUCACACUCUUUCAACAUUCAGGUACAGGAUCACAUUCCUUCAACCCAGUUUACACGCUCACCCCCGUAAUUUUCAGGGCUUUGUGUGGUCCAUUCUCAGGCACGCGAAGGCAAAAAGGUACCAAUUAGAAAGGUGUCUUUACCCGCAUAAUAUGUGGGGCCGGCCUUCUUUGGUCCAUAGCCAUUCGUUAUCUUUCUGUGAAGCUUUGAUGGGACUAGAGAUAUUGUCUCUGGUUCUGGAAUGAUGUUCGAAGCUUUGAACAACUGAUACGGUAUUUUUUUUUGUUGGAAUUAGUAUGAUUGUUGGUAUAUCUGUUUGUACUAGGAAGUCUUACUGGUAAUGUUUGUUCGCAGUCCCUUACAUGGGUGUAAUCGAGUUGGAGCAAGAAGUGACCUCAAGUUUUAUUUGUUUGAUUUUUACUUGACGCUGUCCUGUCUUAGCGCAGCAAGGAAAUCACCAAGCGGUCGAUUAGUAACUUGGUGACUUCCUGUUGAGUGAGGAAAUCAUCAUUCAAAGCUUUAAUUUGUUGGUA